GACACGGCCCAGACUCUACGGGAGGCAGCAGUGAGGGAAUUUUCCGCAAUGAGCGCAAGCCUGACGGAGCAACGCCGCGUGAGGGACGAAGGCCUCUGGGCUGUAAACCUCUUUUAUCAAGGAAGAAGAUCUGACGGUACUUGAUGAAUAAGCCACGGCUAAUUCCGUGCCAGCAGCCGCGGUAAUACGGGAGUGGCAAGCGUUAUCCGGAAUUAUUGGGCGUAAAGCGUCCGCAGGCGGCCUUGCAAGUCUGCUGUCAAAGAGUGGAGCUUAACUCCAUAAAGGCAGUGGAAACUGUGAGGCUUGAGUGUGGUAGGGGCAGAGGGAAUUCCCGGUGUAGCGGUGAAAUGCGUAGAUAUCAGGAAGAACACCAGUGGCGAAGGCGCUCUGCUGGGCCAUAACUGACGCUCAUGGACGAAAGCCAGGGGAGCGAAAGGGAUUAGAUACCCCUGUAGUCCUGGCCGUAAACGAUGAACACUAGGUGUCGGGGGAAUCGACCCCCUCGGUGUCGUAGCCAACGCGUUAAGUGUUCCGCCUGGGGAGUACGCACGCAAGUGUGAAACUCAAAGGAAUUGACGGGGGCCCGCACAAGCGGUGGAGUAUGUGGUUUAAUUCGAUGCAACGCGAAGAACCUUACCAGGGUUUGACAUCCUGCGAACCCCUGAGAGAUCGGGGGGUGCCUUCGGGAGCGCAGAGACAGGUGGUGCAUGGCUGUCGUCAGCUCGUGUCGUGAGAUGUUGGGUUAAGUCCCGCAACGAGCGCAACCCACGUCUUUAGUUGCCAGCAUUAAGUUGGGCACUCUAGAGAGACCGCCGGUGAUAAACCGGAGGAAGGUGUGGAUGACGUCAAGUCAUCAUGCCCCUUACAUCCUGGGCUACACACGUACUACAAUGCUACGGACAGAGGGCAGCAAACUCGCGAGAGCUAGCAAAUCCCAUAAACCGUGGCUCAGUUCAGAUCGUAGGCUGCAACUCGCCUACGUGAAGGAGGAAUCGCUAGUAAUCGCAGGUCAGCAUACUGCGGUGAAUACGUUCCC
rnacentral:rRNA from 1 species